rnacentral:rRNA from 1 species
GACCUCCUACGGGAGGCAGCAGUAGGGAAUCUUCCACAAUGGGCGCAAGCCUGAUGGAGCAACACCGCGUGAGUGAAGAAGGGUUUCGGCUCGUAAAGCUCUGUUGUUGGAGAAGAACGUGCGGGAGAGUAACUGUUCACGCAGUGACGGUAUCCAACCAGAAAGUCACGGCUAACUACGUGCCAGCAGCCGCGGUAAUACGUAGGGGGCGAGCGUUAUCCGGAAUGAAUUGG